rnacentral:rRNA from 1 species
CUAAUACGGUCAGUACCGUGGCAACCACCUCGGGACGGGGACACCCGGGAAACUGGGAUAAUACCCGAUAGGCGAAGACUCCUGGAACGGGUCUUCACCCAAAAGGUGUUAAGAUCAUGCUUUUUAACAUCGCCCGAGGACGGGGCCGCGGCCGAUCAGGUAGUUGGCGAGGCAACGGCUCACCAAGCCUAUAACCGGUACGGGCCGCGGGAGCGGGAGCCCGGAGAUGGGCACUGAGACAAGGGCCCAGGCCCUACGGGGCGCAGCAGUUGCGAAAACUUGUCAAUGCACGAAGGUGUGAACGGGCUACCCCGAGUGCCGUCCGCUGAGGAUGGCUUUUCUCUGCUGUAAGAAGGCGGAGGAAUAAGGAGAGGGCAAGUCUGGUGUCAGCCGCCGCGGUAAUACCAGCUCUCCGAGUGGUAGGGAUGAUUAUUGGGCCUAAAGCGUCCGUAGCCGGCCUUCCAAGUCUUUCGUUAAAUCCAGCGAUUCAAUCGUUGGACUGCGGGAGAUACUGCUAGGCUAGGGGGCGGGAGAAGCCGACGGUAUUCUUGGGGUAGGGGUAAAAUCCUAUAAUCCCAGGAAGACCACCAGUGGCGUAGGCGGUCGGCUAGCACGCGCUCGACGGUGAGGGACGAAAGCUGGGGGAGCGAACCGGAUUAGAUACCCGGGUAGUCCCAGCUGUAAACGAUGCGGGCUCGGUGUUGGAGCGGCUACGAGCCGCUUCAGUGCCGCAGGGAAGCCAUUAAGCCCGCCGCCUGGGGAUACGCCCGGCAGGCUGACUUAAAGGCCA